CCUACGGGAGGCAGCAGUGGGGAAUAUUGGACAAUGGGCGAAAGCCUGAUCCAGCAACGCCGCGUGAGGGAUGACGGCCUUCGGGUUGUAAACCUCUUUCAGUAGGGACGAAGCGCAAGUGACGGUACCUACAGAAGAAGCACCGGCCAACUACGUGCCAGCAGCCGCGGUAAUACGUAGGGUGCGAGCGUUGUCCGGAAUUAUUGGGCGUAAAGGGCUCGUAGGCGGUUUGUCACGUCGGGAGUGAAAUCUCAGGGCUUAACCCUGAGCCUGCUUCCGAUACGGGCAGACUAGAGGUAUGCAGGGGAGAACGGAAUUCCUGGUGUAGCGGUGAAAUGCGCAGAUAUCAGGAGGAACACCGGUGGCGAAGGCGGUUCUCUGGGCAUUACCUGACGCUGAGGAGCGAAAGUGUGGGGAGCGAACAGGAUUAGAUACCCUGGUAGUCCACACCGUAAACGGUGGGCGCUAGGUGUGGGACUCAUUCCACGAGUUCCGUGCCGCAGCUAACGCAUUAAGCGCCCCGCCUGGGGAGUACGGCCGCAAGGCUAAAACUCAAAUGAAUUGACGG
rnacentral:rRNA from 1 species